rnacentral:rRNA from 1 species
UACAGAGGGUGCAAGCGUUGUUCGGAAUUGCUGGGCGUAAAGCGCACGUAGGCGGAUAUUUAAGUCAGGGGUGAAAUCCCAGAGCUCAACUCUGGAACUGCCUUUGAUACUGGGUAUCUCGAGUAUGGAAGAGGUGAGUGGAAUUCCGAGUGUAGAGGUGAAAUUCGUAGAUAUUCGGAGGAACACCAGUGGCGAAGGCGGCUCACUGGUCCAUUACCGACGCUGAGGUGCGAAAGCGUGGGGAGCAAACAGG